rnacentral:rRNA from 1 species
GAUCCGGGCUCAGGAUGAACGCUAGCUACAGGCUUAACACAUGCAAGUCGAGGGGGCAGCAUGGUCUUAGCUUGCUAAGGCCGAUGGCGACCGGCGCACGGGUGAGUAACACGUAUCCAACCUGCCGUCUACUCUUGGACAGCCUUCUGAAAGGAAGAUUAAUACAAGAUGGCAUCAUGAGUUCACAUGUUCACAUGAUUAAAGGUAUUCCGGUAGACGAUGGGGAUGCG